rnacentral:rRNA from 1 species
CAGUCGCCACGGUAAUACGUAGGUGGCAAGCGUUAUCCGGAAUUAUUGGGCGUAAAGCGCGCGCAGGCGGUUUCUUAAGUCUGAUGUGAAAGCCCACGGCUCAACCGUGGAGGGUCAUUGGAAACUGGGGAACUUGAGUGCAGAAGAGAAAAGCGGAAUUCCACGUGUAGCGGUGAAAUGCGUAGAGAUGUGGAGGAACACCAGUGGCGAAGGCGGCUUUUUGGUCUGUAACUGACGCUGAGGCGCGAAAGCGUGGGGAGCAAACAGGAUUAGAUACCCCCGUAGUCCCUGUCUCUUAUAC